AAUUUGUGUGUGUAUGCAAGCACUGCAACCCAAGUAUACUAGGCUCACCUUCUAAUUUUAUCCUCAUUGAACACCUAUUUUAGAAAACGUUAUUACUAAGUGCGCACGAUGACAACCCUGAUUUUUAACGUCGAUGGAUACACCCUCGCAGGUGUGUUAUACUCUUCUUUUGCAAUCAGUUUAUUCUUCGUUCCCUCGGUUAUUUCACUCAUUGGCCUCCGAUUGGCAUUAUUUAUUGGAGCUGCAUGCUCUACGUAGCUCUUCCAAUAACAAUUUUAUUAGAGAUAGUUGGUUACUCUACAUAGCAGGAUCGUUCAAUGGAAUCGGCACCGCUCUAGUGGCUACUGCAACUACAACUUACGUAGUAUUGAACUCAACUGGGGGAAACGCUUGCACGAAAUAUGGCUUUAUGGUGGUUUUUUUUCCAGGGCGGGCAGUUUCCAGGCAAUCUAUUCACAUAACCUGACAUUCAAAAAUGUAACCUUGAAAAUAGAUGAGGCUACGCGUCAUCUUGUUUAUUUGUGCUGACUGGAAUAACGGCCACGGAGCUUUGAUGCACUUAUUUCUGAGGAAGGUGCGCGGAGAAGGAAAAGAAUCAUCUGAUACCCCGAGGCAAGCAUUGAGGAAGACCUGGAAUAUAGCUCUAUCACGAGAUACGGCUAUUCUUUUUGCGACUUUUGGAUAUAUUGGUACCGUUUACAUACGUCUCUCAUCAACGGUUAUCUAUGGAUCUAGCAUUGGGUUCACAUUCAAAUUGGAGAGGGUGUUAAAAGACUCGUUCCCGUCUGCAGUUUUGACUGGAUGCGGAGAAGUGUCAGGUAUUGAUUUAAUUCAUCAUGAGGUUUUUAAAAUUGUGUACAUUUUGCAGUUUUUCGACAUUAAUUUGCAAACAAUUAAGAUAUCUAAUUUCUUUAAAGUGUGGGAAUUGGAAAUGCUUGAACACAAAUAAUUUUUAGUAUCUAGGUAUAUUUGCCAAUGCUAGGUGAUCGGGGAGUGACAAAAUAUACGGUCUUAAAUUCUGGAGCUGUUCGAUAGUGACAUUAUAUGAUGAAGGAGGGAGACUCCCCGAGAUUCUUCAUCUUAACGCCAAUUUGAGUUGCCCACCACUCAUAUCUUCGUCGUUUCUGUACUCGUUCCGGCUUUAAUGGCUGUUCUUUUGAAAUAAUAUCAACCUCAAAUAUGUCUUACUAUCUACAUUUUAUUUUUGAAAUAACGCUUAAGAUUAAAAUAUGAUUGUCCUCCUUGAGUUGAGGCACUCGCUCGAAUACAACGAGUUUCCACUAUAUAAACUAAGAAUCUUCGUGCGGCCAAACAUAUUGCUUUGAAUGUAGGAAAUAAUCGGGGGAAAAUAUUGGGCAAAAUAACGAUGGAAGUAGAGGGGAUAAAUUGAUCGAAUUCACCGACGCGUUUCCUACGUAUUUCUUAAAACAAUUGUUCAGCUGAAUUAAAAAAUAUGAGUAAAGGUUAGCAAUGAUGGUCUAACAUUAAAGAUUGAAAUACCUGGCAAAUAAAAACUUUAGGGUGACUGGCAAAUUGACUAUAUCGGCCUACAAAUUCUUCCUUACUAGAAUUCACAAUUAAUCUAGGGUAUGGCACUGAAUCCAUGCAGAAAAUGAUUUGACACAUAUUCCUAUCUGACGGUUUACGCUCUUCCUUCUUUUUCAGGUGGAGUUCUAGUGAGAAUUUUUGGGAACGUGAAGAUAUUUCGGAUUAACGUAUUUUUUGUUCUCGCUGUGAUCUUCAACUGUAUCUUCUAUUGAUAGUUUUUUUGAGCUUACUGGGACGCAAAAUUUUGGAAUACGAAUCAAAAAUCUAUUAUUGAACGAGGGUAGGCUUUUACUACUAAAUUUUCUACUAUUUUAUCAUGUGGGUGGUGAGUUGCCAUCUUUCUUUUGUGUUUUGCGAAUCGCAAGAUCACAACUCUAGAAUAUUG
rnacentral:lncRNA from 1 species